CUACGGGCGGCAGCAGUGGGGAAUAUUGGACAAUGGGCGCAAGCCUGAUCCAGCAAUGCCGCGUGAGUGAAGACGGCCUUAGGGUUGUAAAACUCUUUCGCUAGGGAAGAUAAUGACUGUACCUAGUAAAGAAGUCCCGGCUAACUCCGUGCCAGCAGCCGCGGUAAUACAGAGGGGACUAGCGUUGUUCGGAAUUACUGGGCGUAAAGAGUUCGUAGGCGGACUGACAAGUUAGAGGUGAAAUCCCAGGGCUCAACCCUGGAACUGCCUUUAAAACUGUCAGUCUAGAGACCGGAAGAGGUUAGGGGAAUACCUAGUGUAGAGGUGAAAUUCGUAGAUAUUAGGUGGAACACCAGUGGCGAAGGCGCCUAACUGGUCCGGUACUGACGCUGAGGAACGAAAGCGUGGGGAGCAAACAGGAUUAGAUACCCUGGUAGUC
rnacentral:rRNA from 1 species